GUCCCAGCCAGCUCGGCCAGGCUCUGGGUGGUCUCCCCGCCAUGAUGGUCCGCUCAUUGCUCACGGUUGAGAGACUUGGAAGUUGGAUCCAAAACAGAUUCUCCUGAACACCUUCCCCGGGACCCUGCUCCGCACCCUCUGUGUCCAAGCUCACUCAGCACCCACAGCAUGGCAGGCAUCAAGCUGGGUUCUGGAGACACAAUGGAAAGGAAACUGAACCUUUGUUCUCAGAGGGUCCAAAGCCUGCAAACUGAAAAAAGCUCUGAUAUCUAGAAUUUCCUGAAUUUGAUUCUUGACAAAUCAGAGGCCAUUUUGAUGUGAAGUUUAAGAGGAAAAAAUCAGAUGCUCUUGUAAUAGCUUUUAAUUCAAGAUUCAAUAGGAUAAUGC